rnacentral:rRNA from 1 species
GACGAACGCUGGCGGCGUGCUUAACACAUGCAAGUCGAACGGAAAGUGCCCCUUCGGGGUGACUCGAGUGGCGAACGGGUGAGUAACACGUGGGUGAUCUGCCCUGCACUUUGGGAUAAGCCUGGGAAACUGGGUCUAAUACCGAAUACACCCUGCUGGUCGCAUGGCCUGGUGGGGGAAAGCUUUUGCGGUGUGGGAUGGGCCCGCGGCCUAUCAGCUUGUUGGUGGGGUGAUGGCCCUACCAAGGCGA